AACGGCGGCCGUAACUAUAACGGUCCUAAGGUAGCGAAAUUCCUUGUCAGGUAAGUUCUGACCCGCACGAAAGGCGUAAUGAUUUGGGCGCUGUCUCGACAAUGUCCCCGGCGAAAUUGUAGUACUAGUGAAGAUGCUAGUUACCUGCGAUAAGACAGAAAGACCCCAUGGAGCUUUACUGCAGUUUGAUACUGGGUUUCGAUGAUUUAUGUACAGGAUAGUUGGGAGACUAUGAAAGAGAGGCGUCAGCUUCUCCGGAGUCGUUGUUGGGAUACCAACCUUAAGUUAUUGAAAUUCUAACUUGUAAUCGUAAACCGGUUAGAGGACAAUGUCAGACGGGCAGUUUGACUGGGGCGGUCGCCUCCUAAAGAGUAACGGAGGCGCCCAAAGGUUUCCUCAGCGCGGACAGAAAUCGCGCGAAAGAGUGUAAAGGCAGAAGGAAGCUUAACUGAGAGACAGACAUGUCGACCAGAUACGAAAGUAGGGCUUAGUGAUCCGGUGGUUGUAAAUGGAAAUGCCAUCGCUCAACGGAUAAAAGUUACCCUGGGGAUAACAGGCUUAUCUCCCCCAAGAGUUCACAUCGACGGGGAGGUUUGGCACCUCGAUGUCGGCUCAUCGCAUCCUGGAGCGGAAGUACGUUCCAAGGGUUGGGCUGUUCGCCCAUUAAAGCGGUACGCGAGCUGGGUUCAGAACGUCGUGAGACAGUUCGGUCCUUAUCUAUCGCAGGCGUAAGAUAUUUGAAGAGUGCUGUCCUUAGUACGAGAGGACCAGGAUGGACAUACCAAUGGUGUAUCAGUUGUCUCACCAGAGGCACGGCUGAGUAGCUAAGUAUGGAUUGGAUAAACGCUGAAAGCAUCUAAGUGUGAAGCCAACUCUAAGAUAAGAUAUCUCAUAUCGUAAGGUAGUAAGAUUCCAUAAAGACUAUGUGGUUGAUAGGUUGGAGGUGUAAGUGUAGCGAUACAUUGAGCUGACCAAUACUAAUAAAUCGAGGGCUUAACCAC
rnacentral:rRNA from 1 species